rnacentral:lncRNA from 1 species
GCCCCCGGCCGGGCCUUAGUGGCUGCGUCUCCCACUCCCGCGCCGAGGAUCACGCUGGAAAUCGCGGGAGUCGAGCGUGGUGAGGUGGGGCCUCAGGGGCAGGCGGGAGGUGCCCGGGUUAACGGUCCAAGGCCCAGAGGCCCGCCCGCCCAGGGCGCCUUAGGGAAUCCCGUUGGAGCAGCGGCCUCCCGUUUCCCGGGAGGAACCCGAGGCCCAGAGGCGGUCUGGGACCCAUCCUCGGAUUCCCGCCGCUUGCCCCCGCGUCCAGCCGCGGCCACCACGCUGGGCUCCAAUCCGCGGAGAAAGGGAGCCUCCCGACCCUCGUACCCCAGGGCUGCCGAGUCCGGGAGUAUCAGGAAAAGGCGCUGUGCUCUGCUGCGCGUCUCGCUCCCAGAAUUUUGCGGCUCCCUCUGCCCUUGGGGCUUGGCACGUGAUCUGUCCUAAAGCGCAGUCCCACCCGCCGCCCCGCUCGGGAGCUCGGGAACUCUGGUUCUUCAAAUGUCGCUUCCUUGGAAAUCUUUCCCGACCGCUUUCUGCAAGCGCCGUUCCUCCCACUGCUCGGUUCUUUAACCCGUUGCACCGAGUGAUUUUUCCUGUGGCUCUUGUACAGCCGUGCAGUUGGGCCGUGAUGCCUUUUUCGUCUCUAUAUUAUUCCGGGGUCCGGCACAUGAUGAUAAAUAAUAAUAUAUCCUAAACAGUCACGAAGCGUCAAGUGCUACUAAAUGCAUUACAUGGGAAGGCCCGCUUAAUCCUCACAGUAAUUUCAUGAAGCGGGUUGUUACGUCUUCACAUUUUAUGCAUGAAGAAACAGGCAUUACAAGAUCAUUUUGCCUAGAGUUCCACAACUAAUGAGUGGAGCUGGGCAGUGAAUUCUAGGAUGUCUGUUCCCAGAGCAUGUGAUAAUUUCACAAACUGCCUUUGGGUUUGAUAAAUGUCUAUUGGAUUGUUUUUUACUUUAACCACACGCUUAUGAUGUGCAUUUGAUUGAGAAGGCUUGGAAAGGAGAAUUGUUGUUCCCAAAUUACAUAUAGAGUUCCUGACAAAACCGGCGCUAGAACCUACUGCCAGCCCUGUUUGUUCAGGCACACUCUACCUUUCUUUGCUCCUUUGCUGCCAGAGCUGCAGACCUAGACCUCAUCACUUCACAGCCUUUAGGAAGUACCUCUCACAGAGAUGUGAUUUUUUUGUACUUCAUGAUUUAAGAGGCACUUUAAUGUAAUAGAUUAACCCUAGAGUUUGGAAGCAGAUUAGGGUUACAUGUUUGCUCAGCUAUAAAUCAUUUAUGUCUCUUCCAUUUUUUGAGUCUGUUUUCUUGUCUGCAAAAUUAAGACAAUGAUCUCAAAGGUUUUUUUGUGAAGAUUGCAAAUAAUUGUUUUGGGAGUAAAGUGCUAUAUAAGCUACAUGAUCUGUUUUUUACCUUUUAGGAGGUUAUAGAGCUUUCAGCAUUUUGUAAGACCAUUGGUGAUGUGGAUCAUAUUACCUAAUGCCUUAUAUUCUUUCAUUCAGUCAAAUAUUUAAUGAGUAGCUGCUAUAUGCCAGGCACUGUUUUAGGAGCUGGGGAUAUAGCAGUCAAUAAAACUAUUCUUGCAAGUAUUCUUAUAAGUAUAUUACACAUAAUAAUCAGAUAGGGACAGAUAACACCAGUGUGUGGGAGGGGUCAUGGUACUUUAUAUUGAGUGGUUAGGGAGCAACUUUAACUGAGAAGGUGAUGGUUGAACAGAGACCUGAAGGUGGUAAGGGAGCAAGCGAAUCAAGAUAACUAACUGGAAGAAGAGGCCCAGAAAAGAGUGGGUAGUUUGGUGCGUUCCCAAGCACAAGCAGCAAGGAAGGCUGUGUGACUGGAGAGGAGUAGGAAAUGGAAUUAAAAUGAUUGGAGGCUAGGAUCAAAUAAUUAGGAGCCUGUAGGCCAUGAGGAUGAUUUUGGUUUUUACUCUGAGUAGCCAUUGGAGGGUUCUGAGUUGCAUAAUCUGUCACUGUUUUAAAAGGAUCACUCUGAUUACUCUGUUGAGAAGGAACAAAUUUUAGAAGCAAGGGUGGAAGCAUCUCAGCUGUCUAGGGAGCUUUUGCAGUAAUCUAAAUGUAUUCUCUAUUGCUGGGGAAAAAAAUCAUCCCCAAAUUUAGCAGCUUGAAAUAGCAAUUAUUAUCUCAUACAGUUGUGGAUUAGAAAUCUAGGAGCAGGGUGAGUGGCACCUGGGUGGCUCAGUCCCUUAAGCGUCUGCUUUCGCCUCAGGUCACAAUCCCAGGGUCCUGGGAUGGAGUCCUGCAUCAGGCUCACUGCUCAGUGGGGAGUCUGCUUCUCCCUCUCCUUCUGCCUGUCCCUGCUGCUUGUGCUCUCUCUCUCAAAUAAAUCUUCAAAAAUAAAAUCUUCAAAAAAAAAAAAAAAAAAA